AUCCAGCUGACGAGUCACAAAUAGGACGAAACGUGCAUCAAACUGGAU
rnacentral:hammerhead_ribozyme from 1 species